rnacentral:rRNA from 1 species
UACAGAGGGGGCAAGCGUUGUUCGGAAUUACUGGGCGUAAAGGGCGCGUAGGCGGCCGCCUAAGUCAGACGUGAAAUCCCUCGGCUCAACCGGGGAACUGCGUCCGAAACUGCCUUGCUAGAGUAUGGGAGAGGGAAGUGGAAUUUCCGGUGUAGCGGUGAAAUGCGCAGAUAUCAGGAGGAACACCGGUGGCGAAGGCGGGUCUCUGGGCAACAACUGACGCUGAGGAGCGAAAGCGUGGGGGAGCGAACAGG